rnacentral:rRNA from 1 species
GACGAACGCUGGCGGCGUGCUUAACACAUGCAAGUCGAACGGAAAGGCCUGCUUUCCCUUGUGUGUUGCGGGUACUCGCGUGGCGAACGGGUGAGUAUCACGUGAGUGAUCUGCCCCCAACUUGUGUGUAAGCCUGGGCAACUGGGUCUAAUUCCCGAUAGGACUGCAGGGUGGUGCGUGUGGUGGAGAACGAUGUUUUUGUGGUUGGGGAUGAGCUGGCGGCCUAUCAGCUUGUGGGUGGGGUAGUGGCCUACGAAGGCUUUGACGGGUAGCCGGCCUGGGGGGGUGACCGGCCACAUUGGGACUGAGAUACGGACCAGACUCCUACGGGAGGCAGCAGUGGGGAAUAUGGCACAGUGGGCGGGAGCCUGAUGCAGCAACGCCGCGUGGGGGAUGACGGCCUUCGGGUUGUAAACCGCUUUCGCCUGUGACGAAGCGUGAGUGACGGUAAUGGGUAAAGAAGCACCGGCUAACUACGUG